ensembl:snRNA U6 U6 spliceosomal RNA
GUACUUACUUCACCCGCACAUAUACUAAACCAGAAUGAUACAGAGCAGAUCAGCACAGGCAUUGGGCAAGGAGGACACCCAAAUUCAUAAGGUAUUCCAUGCUUUU